rnacentral:rRNA from 1 species
CAGCUCCAAUAGYGUAURUUAAAGUUGUUGCAGUUAAAAAGCUCGUAGUUGGAUCUAGGGACGCGCAUUUCAAGCGCCCGUGCCGUCGGGUCAAACCGGCGGCUGCGUUGGCGUUGCGGGCUCGGUCCGUCGGUGCCCCACAAAGGGCUAUCGGCGUGUCAACCGGCCCGCCCGUCCCCUCCUUCUGGAUUCCCGUUCCUGCUAUUGAGUUAGUGGGGACGUCACAGGGGGCUCAUCGUCGUCGUGCAAACGGCGGCGGUGGGUCCCUGGGGCCCAGAUCGUUUACCGUGAAAAAAUUAGAGUGUUCAAAGCAGGCAGAUCCAAUUUUCUGCCACCGAAUACAUUAGCAUGGGAUAAUGGAAUAGGACCCUGUCCUCCUAUUUUCAGUUGGUUUUGGCAGCGCGAGGACUAGGGUAAUGAUUAAUAGGGAUAGUUGGGGGCAUUAAUAUUUAAUUGUCAGAGGUGAAAUUCUUGGAUUUAUGAAAGAUUAACUUCUGCGAAAGCAUCUGCCAAGGAUGUUUUCAUUAAUCAAGAACGAAAGUUAGGGGAUCGAAGACGAUCAGAUACCGUCGUAGUCUUAACCAUAAACGAUGCCGACCAGCGAUUAGGAGACGUUGAAUACAAAACACCACCAUCGGUGCGGUCGUCCUUGGCGUCGGUUUCGGCCGGCGCGGGGGUGGCUUAGCCCGGUGGCACCGGUGAA